rnacentral:tRNA from 2 species
UCUCUGUUAGUAUAUCGGUUAGUACACGCGCCUGUCAUGUACUGGCCGCGCGAAAGCGGGGUUCGACUCCCCGACAGAGAG